CACCUCUGCUCAUCAACCGUAACAACUGAUUCAGGAGCAGUUCUUCACCGACCCUACAGGAGGGUCCCAGCGAGAAACGCCAUUGAUGACGGUUGAAGUCUUCUUCAGCGCUUUUUAGCCAUAGGCAGGGAUUUCCGCAUCCAUAAUCUCUCUCGGGAAUAAAAAUGACAGAUGCCUUUCUCUUUUAGUCUCUUUUUAUUUAUUAAGAACCGGUACCUUUUGGAGAGAUCUCAUCCGUCCAUUCACGGUCCCUCAGCAAGUAGAAAAGAGAAGGCGCUUGAAGAUCACGAAGAAAGUAGCAGCAGCAGAAAUGUCGGAAGCUGUGGGAUCCAGGUCAUGGAGGGAGGAUCUGGCCAGCCUGCUAGACGAUGCGGGGAUUCGGUAUACGGGGGAUGGGAUCGUCGGGGUUCCUGUGCCGGUGGAGAUGGAAGCAGCCUUCGGUGAUGCGGAUGCGGUGGAUAGAGAAGAGGCGGCGGAGAGUUUUAAGGAUCAGCUGAAGGGAUUCUUGAAGGGAACGGGAGAAAUGCUUCAGGAAUUAGGUAGAGGUUGUAGGGAUAUAAUACGGCAGAGCCUUGGUAGGGAGGAUUCCUAUGUGGUGAGGAAGCUCGGUGGGCCAUGGGUGAAGGUCUCCAGUCGGUUGAGAUUCUUGAAUGAGUACUUGCCGGAAGAUCGGGAUCCUAUGCAUGCCUGGCCGGUUGUGCUUUCCGUCUUAUUCCUUGCGUUUCUAGUGUUGAAUGUAAAUACUGAACAACAGAACUCGGCACCACUGCCAAAGAAAGUGUACAUACGUCCUCCAAGUGCUACCCGUGUCCAACUCCCAGAUGGAAGACAUAUUGCAUAUCAGGAGCGAGGUGUUUCUUCUGACAAGGCUAGAUUCUCUUUGAUUGCUCCACAUUCUUUUCUUUCCUCCCGACUUGCAGGUAUACCAGGCAUCAAAGCAUCACUCUUGGAAGAAUUUGGUGUCCGUUUUGUUACAUAUGAUCUUCCUGGUUUUGGUGAGAGCGACCCGCAUCCCCACAGGAACCUUAAUUCAUCAGCACUGGAUAUGUCGUAUGUAGCAAAUGCUGUUGGUGUGAAGGAGAAAUUCUGGGUGGUGGGUUACUCUGCUGGAGCCAUGCAUGCAUGGGCUGCCCUCAGAUACAUUCCUGAUAGACUUGCCGGUGCAGCCAUGUUUGCUCCCCUGUGUAAUCCAUACGAAUCAAGCAUGACAAAGGAAGAGAGAGGGAGAACAUGGGAGAAGUGGACACCAAGAAGGAAACUGAUGUACUUUCUAGCUCGGAGGUUUCCUUCCUUUCUUUCUUUCUUCUACCGCAGGAGUUUCCUAUCUGGACAUCAUGGUCAGCUUGAUAGGUGGUUAUCAUUGUCAUUGGGAAAGAGGGAUAGAGCUCUGAUGGAGGACCCAGUUUUCAUUGAAUUUUUGGAGAAGGAUGUGGAGGAAUCUGUUCGGCAGUGGAACCCAAAACCAUUUGUUGAAGAAGCUGUAUUACAGGUAUCACACUGGGGUUUCAGCCUAGCCCAUCUUCAGGUGCAGAAGACGCGACAGGGGAAAGGCCUCCUUCCUUGGCUCAAGUCAGUGUACAGCCUGGUUGAACGGGAUUGGACUGGCUUUCUUGGUCCCAUACACAUUUGGCAGGUCAGCAAAUAUUAUUAAAAGAAACAGAACAAGAAUACAACAACAGGCCAAAAAAGACUGAAAACAGACACAAAGAAACACAACAAUAAUCCUUACUGGACACAGGCUGAAAAGGACUAAAAGCAGACACAAGGAAGCGAAGAACUAAGGGACAACAAAUGAGAUGAAGAGGCUAGGUCUAAUAACUUCCUCUUUGGCAUACUGAUCUGCCUUGGUAUUAGCUUCCCUUUUGAUAUGCUUGAACUACUUGAUCCACAUUGCAUAUGCCCCUGGCCUCAUCCACCAUGUCGGCAAUCUUCUGAGGGGAAAUGCCGGAAAUGGCCAGCCUAUGGCAUUCGAAGAAUCACCUUCAACAAUGGCAGGAAUAGAUUAAACUGGGAUAAGAAAACUGCCUGCGUCUGCCACAUUUGAAUCAACAACACCAAAGGGGCAGGGGACGGAUGAUCGGGUGGUGCCACCAUCUAUGAUUGAUUUUGUACGACGAGUUGUAACAGGAGCCACGGUACAUACAGUGCCUGGUGAGGGGCACUUCUCCUACUACUGUUUUUGUGAUGAAUGUCAUAGACAGAUAUUCUCUACUCUUUUUGGCCACCCUCAAGGUCCUCUCAGUACAACUUCCGAUGACCAAAUAUCAUCAUCAGCACAAUUGUCUCAAA